UUUGGUACAGAGAAUGUUAAAAUAAUUCAGGAUUCAGACAAGGUGAAUGUCAAAGAGCUUGAUCCCAAAUAUGCUCAUAUCCAAGUCACUUAUGUGAAGCCCUACUUUGAUGAUAAAGAACUCACAGAAAGAAAAACUGAGUUUGAAAGAAACCAUAAUAUCAACAGAUUUGUUUUUGAGGCUCCUUAUACAUUGUCAGGCAAAAAGCAAGGUUGUAUAGAAGAACAGUGCAAACGCCGUACAAUCUUGACUACUUCAAACUCAUUUCCAUAUGUGAAGUAGAGGAUUUCUAUAAACU